GGGUCGGGAAAGUGACACGGCCACGCCCACUAUGACGGGCCACGCCCGGCGCUGCUCCAGGCUGGGCUGCGCCCUUUGCUGCUCCGUCCCCCGCUCCCCUCCCCGGUUCCCCGCGCUCCGCCCUCUUUGGCGUGUUUCCCCCUGUAGGUCGCUCUCCUCUUUGCAACAUGAGACGGCUGCGCCCGAAGUUCAAAUCAGUGAGUGACCUCUGUGCUAGUGGAAACGGAUUUCUCCAAAAAGGAGCAGCGGCCAGUGCUAGCCUUUCAAAGCACUGGGAGCAGCCUGAGAGCAAGCCCUCUUUACGCUGAUGUAACUUGCAUUGUAAGGGUGUCUUGCUUAUGAAAGGCAGCGUGUCAUAAUCUCACCGAGGAUUAGCGAUGUCUUUGAAUGACACCUUGAUGAAGGCGUGUAGGUCAGUCAGUCCUCUUUAACCUUGUGCCCUUCGGUUUGUUGGACUACAAAUACCAGUAUCCCCAUCCAGCUACCUAAAGUCUCACAAUACCCUGGUCCCUGUUGUGUCCUACUACAUUUGUUUGUUUAUAUUUAUAUUCUCCCCCUCAUUUCCUGUAAGGUGGUUCAUAAUCCUCUCUGUUUUCUCUUCACAACAACUCUGUAUGGUAGCUUAGGCUGCGAGUUAGUGACUAGUCCAAAGUCACCUGGUGAGCUUCAUGGCUGAAUGGGGACUUAGAACCCUGAUCUCCCAAGACCCUGUCCGACACUUUAACGCUUACUCUGUGCUGCUUGUGGAAGCAGUCUAUUCCACUUUAUUUCUUUAUUUCAUUUACAUCCCACCUUUUUCCAUUACAGAACUUGAGGUGACUUCCUGUUUCCAUGUGGGCUCCCUUGCAAGUACUGGCCAAGUCCAGACCUACUUAGCGUCAGCAUGGUGACUGCCUCCUAUACCUUCAGUCCAUAUGCUGGGAUCCCAUAUAUGUUGAUAUGAAUCUGGGAUUUAGUUUAGCAGAUAUAAAUACUGUACAGAUCUGUGUUCUCUUGUGUAUGUUACAGGCAAAGGGAAACCAUAUACUUGUGAAAGCUGUAUUAGUGCCAUUCCUUUAUUACGUUCACCAAAAGGCCACAAAAUUGUGUAUUUUCUGCAAUCUUCAGAUCUAUUCAUUGGAAAGGACCCAAACCAAACCAAACCAAGCUGACAUGGAUGUCACUGGAGCAAUCUACUUUCCGUUUGGGUGCAAUCCAUUUUUGGGCCCUCCUAAACAACCACUCAAAAGGUAAACAGCUUAUAUUAGAGCAUGUCUGCAAAGUGUGUUUUCAUAUGCAGUCAGCUCAGUUCAAAUCAGCUUCACUUUCAGUUGACUUCUGCCAAAUAUAAAUGCAAAAUGUGCCUUAGGUUGACAUGGGACAUUGUUUUGCUAAUCAUCUCCAUUGCCAACAGUAUGAGAACUUCUUAAGGCUCAUUUCCUGUGCUCGUUUAGAAAGAAAAGAAAUACUGGCACAUGCUGGGAGUUGUAGGCCUUUUUCCCCUAAACUUGCAUAGGAUGUUCCCUCAGUUACAGCUGUGAUUAUUAAUGUUUGAAAGAACAGAAGCAUUCUUCUCAAUGCUGGUAUUAUAACAAACUGAUAGAAAAUAUCCUACAUAUAAUGAUGUUGCUAAUAUUUCUUAUUUAUGAUACAUUAAGAACAUUCAUGCAAAUACCUCAAGACAGUCAAAUUCUCUUUUGUUGUCUUGCAAACAGCCUUCAGGUUAGGACAGCUGGAUAACUUUGUAUGUUAAAUAAUUUGAGAGAGCUUAAUUUUUUAAGAAAAGAGGUACUGGCACACAGUUUUGCCCUAAAGGCAGAUGCUUAGGAUGGGGAUGGAGAAUAUGUGGCCAUCCAGAUGAUGAUACAAUCCAAGUACCAUCAGAUUUGUACCCCUUCUUUCAAAGCAAAACCCCUCCUAAGAUGACUUACCAAAAAACAAAAAGAGCAAUUAUUUAAAUGCAACUUAAAAACCAUGUCCUUCUUUAUUACUAUUUAUCAAGUGACAGUGCUGAAUUCUAACACCUAAAAUUACUUCCAGGUGCCAUCAUCCUUAGGAAAUUUGCUUUAGUAGCAGGUUUUUUCCAAAUACAAAGCAUUUCUUUUGGCUGCUUGCCCUCAUAUUGGCCCUGUGAAGUAGGAAAAAGAGACAUGCAACAGUUUGCACAAGAAAUCAGAAUUCACAGUGGCUGCUCUGCUGUGAUGGAACUCCAUUCUCUUGUUGCUCAUCAAAGGUUAUGAUCUUAUCCACAUAGAAUAACUAUCAUUUGAAAAACACAAGUUGGAUUAUAAUGCACAAGUGGCCAUGCUGCCUGCAGCCCUAUUGCCUCUUUCACUUCACACAACCCACCAUUUGUAGACUGUGCAGCGUAACAUGAGAACCCAGACCCAUGGUUAAUCCAUGGCUUGUUUUCAAGCACAGUCUUCUGGCUUGGGCCAGAAAACUGAUGGGUUGUCAUUAUGUGUGAACAGCCCUGCCUGGCAACCUGGUGGAGCCACUGCAAAUCUUUGCCACAAGAACUGACUUUGGUGUAUAGAACUAAAUUGUUCGGUUGUAUAUUGUUUCCCUUAGUUUUAACAGAUUGAUUUUUAUAGCACUUAGCUAAUUAAUUUUACUAGACAUGAGCCUCUGAAAUGGAUGGACUUCAAAUGAUACACAUGCAGACACACAAAGGCUGUUCUGUGUUAUACAUAUUUAUAAUUAAAUGCAGAAAGUAAAAGGGCACUCCAACCCCAAGCCCUCAAAAAUAGAUGGUGAAUACAAUUUGGUUAAUAAUUAGCAUUAUGCAUCAGCUGCUGAUGUUACACUAGCCUAAGAUUCUGUUUACUUGGCCCUAGCCGGAGCUUCUACUCAUCCCAUGGCAACAGCUCAGAGUAGCUAAGGUGGUGGCUUAGGGCAAACAGCCUCUUCUUUUUAUUUAUAGCAGCAUACUAGGUUCUUAAGCAGGACUUGGUUGCUCCUGGGCCCACAACCUGCAGUGAGUAUCCUCUGCAUUAUUUUCUCUGACUGCUUGCUUUCUCCUUAGUGGCAUUAAACCAUGACUGAAACUACCCCCAGGUGGAUGCUUUGGAGCAACCAUUCCCAGCCUGGUGUGCUCAGGUGUUGGACUCCAGUUCCCAUUACUCCCAGUUCCCAUUGCCCAGUGGCCCGGAAUGUGAGAAUAGCUUUCAAAACAUCUGGAAGGCACAGCUUAGGAAGAGUUUCAAGAAAGAAGGCUCUAAUGUAUGAUGAUUUUAAAGAUGAUUAGGACUUGGAGGAAUGACCACUUAGGAUGCAAUUCUAUAUACAUUUAAACAGAAAAAAGUCCUGCAACUCGCAGUGUGCCCCAUGGAGUUGCAGGGCUUUCUUCUUCCUAAACAAGCGCAGGACCGACCGUGCCCCUGAUGGCCGGAACAGCACACCCAGGACCUGGGACUUAAUGGCUUUCCCCUUUAGAUGGCCCUGUGUAUUUUUUCAGUGGUGAAAAACAGUUGCGACAUUUCGCUUUCUCUCUUGAACUGCCAUCUCAUGCUUCAGAACUGCUUCUGAUUCCUGGUACAUUGGAACAUCAACACUGUUUGCUGCCCCAAAUGAAAACACAUGCUCUGAGCACAUGCACUUUGGCAUUUUAAAUGCACUUAGGUUCAACUAACCACUGGAUUAAAAUAGUUUACUUCUGCAUCAACUCUCACUGGGUGGCUGUGUAGGAACUCCUGGACUGAGGUCCCAAAGCUCAGCCCAAGCAGCACCACUGUGAAGCAGCUAACAAUGGAACAUCCAUAUUCAAGAGCAGUUGUCCUAGGAGCCAGACUCAAGUAUCAGCCAUCUCUAUCAUGUCUUGCUUGAAGCAUCCAAAGUGGCAUUUUGCCAGCUGCCCAGGAUGGUGUCCUGCACUGUAGGGGUAAGCAAUCUUAUGUCUUUCAGAUGCUUUGGACUACAAUUCCUAUAAUUCAUCCCUGUGCAUUGGCUGUACUGGCUGGGGCUGAUAAGAGUUGAGGUUGAAACCCUCUGGCAGAAACCAGGUUGCAGAACCCUAGUGUGACUGGAGUGAUGGACUUGGGUGGGAAAAUCAGGGUGCAGCCCCAGUCGGUGGGAUCCAGCCAUGAAGCUCCCUGGGUGGUCUUGGGACGGUUGCAAUUUCACAACUGAGUACAACCUCACAGGGUUGUGAAGUUAAAAUGGUUGUGGGAGGGAGGGUUGUUUAUGCUGCUUUGAGUCCUUAGUGGCAAGGCAGGGUAUAAAUACGAUCGAUAUAAAAACACUCUUGAACUCUCUUUACUUGUGAUGUGUUGAUCUCUGUUCUUUUCAAAGGGACCCAGUGAGAGUUUAUUGUGACAUCACCUUGAUGAUGUGGGUUCAAUGACUCCACAGAGUCAACAGUUGCUAAAUAUUUCUGGGGAAACUGUGUUACUGAGUUGAAUUCCAAAGGGAUGUAUCCCUCCUGGUGUGCUUACUCUUUGACGAAGGAAAUUGAGCCAAUUGUGGCUCCAGAAAGUUUGUUUAUGGGCUUGGAGUGCCUGGUUGUAGCUCAGGUAUCCAGAAGGGUACAAGUAGAGAGCCAGUGUGGUGUAGUGGUUAAGAGCACGGGACUGGGACUCAGACAACCUGGGUUCUAGUCCCUGCUCAGCCAUAGAGCCAACUGGGUGACUUUGGGCCAGUCACAGACUCUCAGCCCAACCUACCUCACAGCGUUGUUGUUGUGGGGAUAAGAUGGAGGAGGAGAAUGAUGUAAGCUGCCUUGAGCCCUUUGUAGGAAAAAGGCAGGAUAUAAAUUGAAAAAUAAAUAAUGUUCCCUUAUGAAAGUUGCACAGAAUGGGUGGGACAACUCCAGCCUUGGGGUGGGGGCUGAAAAAGCCAUCCUGGGGAAAGAAGAUCUGGCCACAGUGGUCCAUGCCUCAAUAACAUCUCACUUGGAUUACUGUAGCAGACUCUGCUUGAAAAGUGUUCAAAUUACACCUAAAUUUCUAAAGCACAGAGGUCAACAGACUGAUUUUACAGAACAUUUCACACCAGUUCAGCGUAAUUUGCUCCCGAUUUAUUUCCAAGCCCAAUUCAAGGAGCUGCAUCUCUGAAGGAUUCCUUCCUUCCCAUAUCAACUGGCCUGUAAUUUAUGAUCAUGAUUACCAGCCCUGUUGAUACACCCCUCAUUAAUCUAGAUUGGCUAGUUUGAUGAAUGGCUUUUCGUGUAUGUAUGUAUGUACAGAGAAACAAAUACACAUUCCAACACACACACACACACACACACACACACGUAUAUAUGAAAAUACAACUUUCUAAAAAGUUCUAUAUUAAAUUCAGCAAAAGCAAGAAAAUAUUCAUAUAUGCAUCUAUUCAUGGCAAUCCAUUGCUUAGGCAAAAUAGGACAGUAAAUCAUAUCUAGUCACGGAUAACAAUUAUUUAUAAACAUGGAUUGUGGGUCAUGUGAUAUAUUUGAUCAGCCUCUCUUAGUACCACCAAUAGUGGAGGAGACUCAGACACUUCAACAGUGGCAGGACCAGACCUAGACUGCAAAUGCCAGUCUUGCCAUUCGGUGGUAACAUGCAUCUACUAACUAAUCCAAGGUGAAAUCGAAUUGUUCCGUCAAGUCUGCCACAAAAUAUUUUCUCACCAAUUCAUUUAUCUGGAUUUCUCAGCAGAAUCAAUUUAGCAUGGAAAAAUGGAUUGAAUUAUAACUAACAUGAUGUGAUAUUUCAGACAUCUCUAAGUGCAGUAAUUGUGAAAAGGUCCCAGUCCAUGUUAGUAUGCUGGUAUCCUGUUGCCUGCAUCCACCUGCAGGGAUACUUCAGGCAGGAGAAUUCCAGACGUGACCCAGGUAGAAUAUCUAAGCUAAAUGGAAAAGGUGAAGCGUUAGUAUACAUCAACGAAUAGCCCCAAAUUAUUGAAAGCAUGACCUUGAAAGUCAAACCCACCCUUAUUCGGAAGUUACAUUUUUAAAGAUAUUUGCAGUAAGGUGGAAGUCCUCAUGUCAAAUCAGGUAAUACAUGCAAUUAAGAAACAGAGCAUUUAAGUUUUUAAAAACAUUUACCUUCUUUUAAUGGAACUACCCUGAAUACUAUAUCAUUCCCCUGAGGUUUUAAUAGUUUUUAAUGCUGCACUUUGAUUUGAAUUAAUAUUCUGGCUUGAGGUGUGUUUUGUUUUUGUUACUUUGAUCAUUCCCAAAUAUCUUUUAUUGAACUGUGAGUUGUAACUGCACUUAUCUGUUUCAAGUUUUAUUUUAUGCUGGUGUAUCUUGUUUUUAAACUGUUUGCUGCUGUUGCUUUUCCAUUAUUUUAUUGUGUUUUUAAUGCUUCUGUUACUGUGCUGAUUUUUAUUAUGUGUUUUACUAUUGUACACUGCCUUGUAGAGGUACUCAAGAAAUAUUUUAAAUAAAAGAAAACAAUAAUGUA